GUGUUUAAUAUAUUGAUUUAGACAUGAAGACAGGUUGGGAUGUCAUGAGCUUGGAAUCUUGAAAUCUUGAAAAUUCUGGAAUGUUUUCUCAAAACAAUUUACAUUAGAAUUAGCUGGGGUGCUUGUUAAAAAUUCAGUUAUCCAUCUUACUUUUACCAACUCAGAUUCUUCAGCCAUUUGCAUUGAUAGCCACUCCCCAGCAUCUGCUCCCUCAAAGGUGAAAACCAGAAAUUGGCAGUAGAUGAUAUGCAACUAUUAAAUAUAAUGUGAAGCUUUAGUCUCAAUAGGUUUGGACAAAUAAUAAAUGAAAGUAAUUUUCAAAACUGAAGGGAAGUAAUACCAAGAAAGUCAGCAGAGUGAAAAGAACACUGGAUAGAAUGAAGAGACAAGACUCUUAGUCUCUGGCCAACUUUGGGAGACUUAAUUCACUUUCCAGGCCUCAGUUUCCUCAAUCAAGAAAUUGGAUUUUAGGCAUCUUUUAUCCGUAAUUCUAAAUCCGAGUUGCGAGGACAGAGAACCUGGAGGACUGACACUGGGAAGAUUACAGAAGGCAGAGCUCCAGAGGGCAAAGCAAGAAAAUGUUACAAAUCUAUUUAUUCAGUCCUUGAAUCUGAGUAUAUCUGUUCCACUAUCAAAAUGGUUCCCUUUACUUUUUUCUUCCCUUUAAGUCAAGCAUGAAUUUUUCAUAUUUCGUAUAGUGUUUGCUUUAGAAAUAUAACACCUUGUAAACGUAACAAGCCAAUAGUAUGAAAAGACUAUGGAUUGACUUUGAUUUUCCCACUUAGAAGUGACACCACUCCUAGAUAUACUGGAAUAUUUUUUUAGCCCGUCAUGAAAGGUUUCUGCAGAUAGCCCUGUAUCCUUUUCAGCACAGCAGGCAGAUAAUGGCUCCUAAUCAUCACCCAAUUGAUUUUGACAAUAUUUCUUUGUGGGUGAAUAGGAUGAGUGGGGAACAUCCCAGGGGGC
rnacentral:lncRNA from 1 species